rnacentral:rRNA from 1 species
GAUCAUGGCUCAGGAUGAACGCUGGCGGCGUGCUUAACACAUGCAAGUCGAACGAUUAACCCACCUUCGGGUGGUUAUAGAGUGGCGAACGGGUGAGUAACACGUGACCAACCUACCCCUUACAUUGGGAUAACUCAGAGAAAUCUGUGCUAAUACCAAAUACUCCGGAUAAAUCGCAUGGUUUUUCCGGGAAAGCUUUUGCGGUAAGGGAUGGGGUCGCGGCCUAUUAGGUAGUUGGUGGGGUAACGGCCUACCAA